rnacentral:rRNA from 1 species
CGGAGAAGGAGCAUGAGAGACGGCUCCCUCAUCCAAGGAAGGCAGCAGGCGCGUAAAUUACCCAAUCCUGUACACAGGGAGGUAGUGACAAUAAAUAACAAUGCCGGGCCAUCAUUGGUCUGGCAAUUGGAAUGAGAACAAUUUAAAUCCCUUAUCGAGGAUCAAUUGGAGGGCAAGUCUGGUGCCAGCAGCCGCGGUAAUUCCAGCUCCAAUAGCGUAUAUUAAAGUUGUUGCAGUUAAAAAGCUCGUAGUUGGAUUUGUGGCGUACGAUGUGUUCCGGGCACUUGUUGUCUGAGUAACCUGUUGUUGCCAUCCUUGGGUGGAACCUGUGUGGCAUUAGGUUGUCGUGCAGGGGAUGCCCAUCAUUUACUGUGAAAAAAUUAGAGUGUUCAAAGCAGGCUUAUGCCGUUGAAUAUAUUAGCAUGGAAUAAUGAGAUAGGACUUUUUUGCUAUUUUGUUGGUUUGCGCAAAGAGGUAAUGAUUAAUAGGGACAGUUGGGGGUAUUCGUAUUCCAUUGUCAGAGGUGAAAUUCUUGGAUUUUUGGAAGACGAACUACUGCGAAAGCAUUUACCAAGGAUGUUUUCAUUAAUCAAGAACGAAAGUUAGGGGAUCGAAGAUGAUUAGAUACCAUCGUAGUCUUAACCAUAAACUAUGCCGACAAGGGAUUGGUGGAAUCUCGUUAUGUCUCCAUCAGCACCUUAUGAGAAAUCACAAGUCUUUGGGUUCCGGGGGGAGUAUGGUCGCAAGGCUGAUACUU